UCCAGGAGCUGCCCCCCAGCCAGCCCCAGGAGUGCCUGGUGCGGGUCUACAUCAUCCGGGCUUUCGACCUGCCCCCCAGGGACAGGAACGGGCUGUGCGACCCCUACAUCCGCAUCUCGCUGGGGACAAAGAAGGUGGGCGACCGCAAUCAGUAUGUGCCCAACACCCUGCAGCCCGUUUUUGGCAGGCUGUUCGAGCUGACGGGCACCAUCCCACUGGAGAAGGACCUGCACGUCUCGCUCUUCGAUUACGACCUGCUGCCACCUGACCAGGAGAUCGGCAGCACCAGCAUCGACCUGGAGAACCGCCUGCUGUCCCGCUCCCGCGCCCACUGCGGGCUGCCCCGGCUUUACCGCACGUGGGUGCUGUGGGGGCACGGGGGUGGGCACGGGGCAACGGGCACCCAGGGAGUGAGGCCAGGUGGGUGCAGGGGAAUGGCCACAAGGAGAUGGUUACAGGUGGGCACAGGAGGAUGGGCACAAGGAGAUGGUUUGGAGUGGGUGCAGAAAGGUGGGCACGGGGAGAUGGUUACAGGAGGGCACAAGAGGACGGGCACAAGGAGCUGGUUUUGGGUGGAUGCAGAAGGGUGGGCAUAGCAGGAUGGGCAUGGGAUGAUGGUUUUGGGUGGGCACAAGAGCAGGGGCAUAAGGAGAUGGUUUAGAGAGGGUGCAGAAGGAUGGGCAUGGGGAGAUGGUUACGGGUGGGCAUAGGAGGAUGGACACGGGGAGAUGGUUUUGGGUGGGCACAGGAGGGUGGGCACAGGACAGGCACAAGAAGAUUGUUUUGGGUGGGCGUAGGAGGAUGGGCACAGCAGGAUGAGCAGAGGGUGAUGGAUGUGGGUGGGCACAAGAGGCUGGACCCGGCUCAGGCAUCGUGGGGUGGCACGUGGCUACGUGCACGGCA